rnacentral:sRNA from 1 species
GGAGGUAGCCCCGCUGGCGCCCGAGGCCAGUUGAAGUGGGCGGAGCGGCGGGCGGGGCGUCGUCGUGCUGGGCCUGCCCCCUGUCCGGCUAGCCCCGCGCCGCGCCUACUCCACAGGUCCGGCCGGCCGGUGAGAGCCUGAGGACUGCAGAGGUGAGCGUCGCGCCCGAGAGUCCGCCGCCUGCGCCAGGAUGGAGUUCGUGAAAUGCCUGGGCCACCCCGAAGAGUUCUACAACCUGGUGCGCUUCCGGAUCGGGGGCAAGCGGAAGCCUCAGAGUUUGAAGACCCCUUAGUUGGUGAAGAUACAGAACGUGCCAACUCUAUGGGCCUGUUUCUGCAGAAAACAAACAUCAUUCGUGACUAUCUGGAAGACCAGCAAGGAGGAAGAGAGUUUUGGCCUCAAGAGGUUUGGAGCAGGUAUGUUAAGAAGUUAGGGGAUUUUGCUAAGCCGGAGAAUAUUGACUUGGCUGUGCAGUGCCUGAAUGAACUUAUAACCAAUGCACUGCACCACAUCCCAGAUGUCAUCACCUACCUUUCGAGACUCAGAAACCAGAGUGUGUUUAACUUCUGUGCUAUUCCACAGGUGAUGGCCAUUGCCACUUUGGCUGCCUGUUAUAAUAACCAGCAGGUGUUCAAAGGGGCAGUGAAAAUUCGGAAAGGGCAAGCAGUGACCCUGAUGAUGGAUGCCACCAAUAUGCCAGCUGUCAAAGCCAUCAUAUAUCAGUAUAUGGAAGAGAUUUAUCAUAGAAUCCCCGACUCGGACCCAUCUUCUAGUAAAACAAGGCAGAUCAUCUCCACCAUCCGGACGCAGAAUCUUCCCAACUGUCAGCUGAUUUCCCGAAGCCACUACUCCCCCAUCUACCUGUCGUUUGUCAUGCUCUUGGCUGCCCUGAGCUGGCAGUACCUGACCACUCUCUCCCAGGUAACAGAAGACUAUGUUCAGACUGGAGAACACUGAUCCCAAAUUUGUCCAUAGCUGAAGUCCACCAUAAAGUGGAUUUACUUUUUUUCUUUAAGGAUGGAUGUUGAUGUUUCUUUAGUUUUUUCUUCCUACUUUAAUCCCUAAAAGAACUCUGUGUGGCUGGGACCUUUAGGAAAGUGAAAUGCAGGUGAGAAGAAUCUAAACAUGAAAGGGUGCCUCACCCCAGCAACCUGUCCUUGAGGGCGAUGAUCACUGCGCUGCUUGUGGCUCAUGGCAGAGCAUUCUGUGGCACGGUUUAGGUGAAGUGGCUGCAUAUGUGACCGUCAUGAGAUCCUAGUUAGUGUGAUCCUGGCUAGAAUGAUAAUUAAAAGUAUUUAAUUUGAAGCAACAUUUGAAUGUUCCUAAUAGUAGAAAAUGAUGUGAAUUUUCUUUCUGUUUGGCUCCUAUUUUUCUCAUCAUUUUGUUUUCUUUAAUUGGGUUGAAUGGAGUAGAUAGCAAUAUUUAUGGUUUAGGCAACAGAUGUUUCCUAAGAAUGCAAACUGCCUUUUGCACACAAAGGCUGGGAAUAAAAUUCUGGGUAUUCUCAUUUAAAGGAGUUUAGCUUUCAGAGAGAAACAGCA